AUUUAUAUAGCUUAUAAUUAGAGUUAGAUAUUGAAGAUAUUUUGGAGGAGUUAUUCCUGUAAAUG
rnacentral:tRNA from 1 species